rnacentral:rRNA from 1 species
GGGAACCUAGUGCUAAACCAAUUUUUAGAUGACCUGCUUCUGGGUCAGGGUUUUGUACUUAGCAAAGCAGCUCCUAGCUGUGAUCUAUUGAAAGUCAGCCCUCAACACAAGGGUUUG